AACGGCAGCGCGGGGCAACCUGGCGGCGAGUGGCGAACGGGUGAGUAAUAUAUCGGAACGUACCCUGGAGUGGGGGAUAACGUAGCGAAAGUUACGCUAAUACCGCAUACGAUCUAAGGAUGAAAGUGGGGGAUCGCAAGACCUCAUGCUCCUGGAGCGGCCGAUAUCUGAUUAGCUAGUUGGUAGGGUAAAAGCCUACCAAGGCAUCGAUCAGUAGCUGGUCUGAGAGGACGACCAGCCACACUGGAACUGAGACACGGUCCAGACUCCUACGGGAGGCAGCAGUGGGGAAUUUUGGACAAUGGGCGCAAGCCUGAUCCAGCAAUGCCGCGUGAGUGAAGAAGGCCUUCGGGUUGUAAAGCUCUUUUGUCAGGGAAGAAACGGGUCUUUCUAAUACAGAGAUCUAAUGACGGUACCUGAAGAAUAAGCACCGGCUAACUACGUGCCAGCAGCCGCGGUAAUACGUAGGGUGCAAGCGUUAAUCGGAAUUACUGGGCGUAAAGCGUGCGCAGGCGGUUUUGUAAGACUGUCGUGAAAUCCCCGGGCUCAACCUGGGAAUGGCGAUGGUGACUGCAAGGCUAGAGUUUGGCAGAGGGGGGUAGAAUUCCACGUGUAGCAGUGAAAUGCGUAGAUAUGUGGAGGAACACGAAUGGCGAAGGCAGCCCCCUGGGUCAAAACUGACGCUCAUGCACGAAAGCGUGGGGGAGCAAACAGGAUUAGAUACCCUGGUAGUCCACGCCCUAAAAACGAUGUUUUUCUAGUUGUCGGGUUUUAAUUAACUUGGUAACGCAGCUAACGCGUGAAGUAGACCGCCUGGGGAGUACGGUCGCAAGAUUAAAACUCAAAGGAAUUGACGGGGACCCGCACAAGCGGUGGAUGAUGUGGAUUAAUUCGAUGCAACGCGAAAAACCUUUACCUACCCUUGACAUGGCAGAAAUCCUCGAGAGAUUGAGGAGUGCUCGAAAGAGAAUCUGCACACAGGUGCUGCAUGGCUGUCGUCAGCUCGUGUCGUGAGAUGUUGGGUUAAGUCCCGCAACGAGCGCAACCCUUGUCAUUAGUUGCUACGAAAGAGCACUCUAAUGAGACUGCCGGUGACAAACCGGAGGAAGGUGGGGAUGACGUCAAGUCCUCAUGGCCCUUAUGGGUAGGGCUUCACACGUCAUACAAUGGUACAUACAGAGGGCCGCCAACCCGCGAGGGGGAGCUAAUCCCAGAAAGUGUAUCGUAGUCCGGAUUGUAGUCUGCAACUCGACUGCAUGAAGUUGGAAUCGCUAGUAAUCGCGGAUCAGCAUGUCGCGGUGAAUACGUUCCCGGGUCUUGUACACACCGCCCGUCACACCAUGGGAGCGGGUUUUACCAGAAGUAGGUAGCUUAACCGCAAGGAGGGCGCUUACCACGGUAGGAUUCGUGACUGGG
rnacentral:rRNA from 1 species